rnacentral:lncRNA from 1 species
CUGAAUAUGAAUAAAUGUCUAUUAUAUCUUCUAUUAUUCCUACAUCAAAGUUUUAAGCUAGUAAGAUCAUACUAUACAAUACGAUUGAGAAAUUAUUAUUUUUUAAUACUACAAUAUGUUUUUAUUUUAAAAUAAUAUAUAUUUUAAAUUAUUCUAAUUACCUAUAAAUUUAAAAGUAAAAAUUUAGAAAUAAUAGAUUUUAUAUAAAAAUAAAGAAAAAUAAAUAAAUCUAAAAAUAAAUUUGGAUAUUUCUAAAAUGGAAUAAAUUUUAUUUAAAAUUAAUAAUAAAUCACACCUUAACAUUUAUAAUAUUAAAAAUAAUUAAAUUUUAAAAAUAUAAGUUUUAAAAAAGCUUAAUCUAUUUAUUAUUUAGAAAUAGAUAAUUUCAAUAGUAAAUUAAUUAUUAUUUCUAAAAUAUUAUAUUAUAAUAUAAUUAUAUAGUAAAAAUAUUUUUAAAAUAAAUUUUUAAUUAUUAUUCCAUCUUCUUUGUUCAAUAAGAAUUCAAGACAUUUAAACAAGGCUUUAUGAAAGCCUCCUAGUUUAUUUUGCUUGUCUUAAUAUCUAAUGGAUUAAAGUUAGUUAGUUAGUAAUUUCUUCUUUAAGGCUAAGU